AGCAGUGUGGUCUAGUGGUAAAAAGUAGGACUGGCAACCAAAAGGUCACUGGUUCGAUUCCCUGAUGGGGUACUGCUG